GACGAACGCUGGCGGCGUGCUUAACACAUGCAAGUCGAACGGUAAGGCCCUUCUUUUGUUGGGUGCUCGACUGGCGAACGGGUGAGUAACACGUGAGUAACCUGCCCUUUUCUUUGGGAUAACUUCAGGUAACUGUGGCUAAUACCGUAUAGUCCCUCCUGCUGCUUGGUGUGGGUUGGUUCGUUUCGGCGGUUGGGGAGGGACUCGCUGCUUAUCUGCUUGUUGGUGGGGUAGUGGCUUACCAAGGCUUUGACGGGUAGCCGGCCUGAGAGGCUUACCGGCAAAAUGGGGACUGAGAGAGGGCCAAGACGCCAACGGGAGGCAGAAGGGGGAAAUAUUGAACAAUGGGGGGAAGCGUGAGGAAGAAAGGCGGGGUGCGGGAUGACGGCCUUCGGGUUGUAAAAGGAUUUAGCAGGUGAAGAAGAGUGAGUGACGGUAAUGGGUAAAGAAGCACCGGCUAACUACGUG
rnacentral:rRNA from 1 species